GGGGGCCCGCACAAGCGGUGGAGCAUGUGGUUUAAUUCGAAGCAACGCGCAGAACCUUACCAACCCUUGACAUCCCCGGACCGCCCGAGAGAUCGGGUUUCCACUUCGGUGGCCGGGUACAGGUGCUGCAUGGCUGUCGUCAGAUCGUGUCGUGAGAUGUUGGGUUAAGUCCCGCAACGAGCGCAACCC
rnacentral:rRNA from 1 species